rnacentral:rRNA from 1 species
UGCAACUCGACUCCGUGAAGCUGGAUUCGCUAGUAAUCGCGAAUCAGAAUGUCGCGGUGAAUACGUUCCCGAGCCUUGUACACACCGCCCGUCACACCAUGAGAGUCGAUAACACCCGAAGCCUGUGAGCUAACCGCAAGGAGGCAGCAGUCGAAGGUGGGGUUGAUGAUUGGGGUGAAGUCGUAACAAGGUAAC